rnacentral:lncRNA from 1 species
AAUGACCUGAUGGAUGAGACUCCUAACUGCAGAUCACAGCUUUCUCUAUUGUGCAGCAAGGAUAAGCUACUUCCAUAUGUUGGAGAAAGAGCAAAGUGGGAUUACACUGAAGGAAGACAUUCUUUGGAUUAUUUAGAGCUUCUAAAAUACAGAACAGAAAACACUAAGAAAAAGAGAUUAAGCUCUCAGUUGGACAUAUAG